UAGGGAAUCUUCGGCAAUGGACGAAAGUCUGACCGAGCAACGCCGCGUGAGUGAAGAAGGUUUUCGGAUCGUAAAACUCUGUUGUUAGAGAAGAACAAGGACGUUAGUAACUGAACGUCCCCUGACGGUAUCUAACCAGAAAGCCACGGCUAACUACGUGCCAGCAGCCGCGGUAAUACGUAGGUGGCAAGCGUUGUCCGGAUUUAUUGGGCGUAAAGCGAGCGCAGGCGGUUUCUUAAGUCUGAUGUGAAAGCCCCCGGCUCAACCGGGGAGGGUCAUUGGAAACUGGGAGACUUGAGUGCAGAAGAGGAGAGUGGAAUUCCAUGUGUAGCGGUGAAAUGCGUAGAUAUAUGGAGGAACACCAGUGGCGAAGGCGGCUCUCUGGACUGUAACUGACGCUGAGGCUAGAAAGCGUGGGGAGCAAACAGG
rnacentral:rRNA from 1 species